AUUUCUUAAUGUAGCUGAUACUGGUCUGAAGAAGAAGGUUGAGGAUGUUAUGUCAAUCGCAACCGGACACGAGCGUGAAGAGCUUGAAGCUUCUCUUGAGGGAAAAGACAUACUUGACAUAAAUCAUCCUGUUGGCCCCUUUGGAACUAAGGAAUUUCUGCUACAUUUCAAGUUCAUCAAAGAGAGCUCUCUGAAUUACUGAGAUUUGCUUUUCGUUCAUUACGUUGCUUUGGAUCAUAUUAGUGGCUUCCUUUGCUACUGUCAUCAUUCAGUCAUUAGCAGUCAAUCUAGGGGUUAUCACAGGUAAAUGACUGCUGCAUAACGUUC